UUGAUUGAAUACGGUAGUUAGUAAGCUAAGUAGCAAACAAUCAAACGCCUCUGUAAGGAUUCUACGAAACUGUGAACGGAGACGUCGCUGGAAAAGAAACUUUGAAAUGAAUUGUAAUACUACAAACAACAGAAAGUCAAUGACAUCAUUUAAAAGACAUAACCGGUAACGUUAGCUAAAUUAGCUAGUUUUCCAGUGUUGCUAGCUAGCUAAUGAUGUAACAUGAUAACUGUUAGCUAGCAGUGAUGGAUACUGUCAACAAACAAACAAAAUGAUUGUCAAAGGAGAAAACGUCUGUCAACAAACAAACAAAAUGACUGUCAAAGCAGCAAGUUGCAGUUGGACAUCAAAGAAAGUGGACAACAACUGACAACAAGAGGAUGAAGAGGACACUGGAGGAGGAGCAGCGGGCGAGGAAAGAGCUGGAGAGGAUUGUCAGGAGAGUUCUGAAGAACAUGAACGACCCAACCUGGGAUGAGACUAACCUCUGAGAUCAAUAUAUAUGUGAUCAUCAUGGACGAGACCAAUUUCUGACUUUAAAGUGACCAAAUGAACUAUGAACUGUUGUUCAACCUCUGUGUGGACAAAAGCUGCCAAUACUUCGUUCAACAUGUCGUCACCAUUUUUACUUGCUUUGACCAGUGUACCAAACUGUGGACCAAGAUAAAAUGUCGGCCAGCCAUCAGCAAAGCCAUCCCAACUGACCGUAAAGCUGUGAAGCCACAUUAGCUGGUAGGCAUGAUGACAUCACUUCCUGUCACUCUCCUUUACUUUUUCAAACAGCCUUUUUGAAACACUGACAAACAAAUCACUUUUCUCAUCUACUUUUGUAAUUAUCUUUCAUUCCUCUUUGUGCUUUUUUUGCAUCAAGUAUGACAUUUAAAAUGUAACCAUUG